AAAAAUAACAAAUUAAGACUAAAUUAAAAUUGAACAUAAAAUUAUACGGAUUAUUUUGCAUAUGACAAGACCAUUAAUAUUUAUUUUUGUAGGAAAUAUUGUUUUAUUAUUAUUAUUAUACAAUAUCCCUUUUAGAAUGGGAAACCAAGCUUUAUAAAAUAUUUACUUCUUAUAUUUAGCUAAUUAUAGGUUGACUUAUUUCUUCUUAUAAUUUCUGUAACUAUGUUAGGAUAUUUUGUAUUCAUUACCAAAUAUCCUCAUUCUCUGAACAGUGCCUAUUUAAAGGCAUAGCUCUCAUGCAAUAAAAUAUUGAAGUCUAAUUUCCACAUGGUAUCAGAGAAAUCCCUUUUAGCCUAAAAAUUUCAAAAUUUUUUUUUCUCAACCUUCUUUUCCCCAUGGCUUCUCUACCUGAUACUACCCUUUCAAAACAAACCGCCCCCACUACUUCCAUCACCUCUGAUGAUACUUCAGUCGAUUCUUCUAUCAUCAAAGCUCUCUUUGAUGCCUUUCCCACAUCAUUUGAUCAUCAAAACUCCCUCCAAAUCACUAUCCAUAAAACUGAAUGGCCAGAAUUUUCUGCAAUGGUCCUAAUCUGAAGAUAUAUCUCUGUGCUUGGGGUAUCUCACUGGUGCUAUCGCUACGCCUGUUGCUACCGAUCCUUCCAUGCCAAAUGUGACUCUGAAAACUCCCUCAUCAUGGCUUGGCUCAUCAACUCCAUGGAGGUUGAUAAUGGUAAGACCUAUUUAUUCCUUCUUACUACUCGUGAGGUGUGGGAAACUGUUCAGGAGGCCUUCUCGGAUUUGAAAAGUUCGGCUCAAGUCUUUGAAGUCAAAUCAAGGCUUCGGGACCAGCGACAAAAUUCCCUUACGGUAACUCAACAUUAUGCCUGAACCGAGACCUUGAUAAGUUGCGUGAUCGUCUCUUGGGAAAAAAUCCUCUUCCCACCAUCCGAGAGGCUUUUGCUGAGGUUCGAAGGGAGGAGAGCAGGAAAAGAGUCAUGAUGGGACUCCCAAUCACUGCUGAAAAUGACCAAUCUGCUCUUGCUGCCUGACGCUCUAAUGAUGGUGAUGGCACUCAUGGGAAUCGUUGUGCACGCCCCCGGUGCUGCCACCGCAAUAAGGUUGGUCAUACCAAGGAGAAGUGUGGGUAAUUCAUGGUAAAUUUGCUGAUUGGAAGCCUCGUUCCUCAACUCAUUCCAAUUCCGACAGCUAAGCCUUGACUGCUGCACCACCCAAGCCUUUUCUAUUUACUCCAGCUCAAAUUACUCAACUCCAUCAGCUUUUGAACAUUGCUUCUGCAUCUGAUCCUUCAUCUGCUGCCUUCAAUGUUCAAAAUUCUGCUUGGAUUGUGGACUCAGAGGCCUUGGAUCACAUCCAAUCAGUUCACCACUUACACACCUUGCCCAGGAUAUGUCCUUGAGGAAGACGAUUGGGAAUGUGAAGACAUGUAGUGGGCUGUAUUACUUUGAUCCAUUUCCUCCUGCUCAAGUGAAUAAAGUUUCUGGUUGUAUUUCUUCUAGUGACAAUGAUAUUAUGCGGUGGCAUUUUAGGCUAGGCCACCCUAGUUUUCAUAUUUAAAAUAUUUAUUUCCUAAGUUGUUUUGAAAUAAAAACUUUAGUUUAUUUAAAUGUGAAAUUUGUCAAUUUGCUAAGCAUACAUGUGCUGUUUUUCGCCCUAUACCCUACAAAUCAACGCAACCUUUUACUCUUAUUUAUAGUGAUAUAUGGGGACCUUCUAGAAUAACAAAUACUACAAAUACAAGUUGAUUUAUCACUUUUAUUGAUGAUCACACACGUGUUAGUUGGGUUUCUCCUUAAAAAUAUAUCUGAUGCUACCAUGACAUUUAAAAAAUUUCACUCCAUGAUUAAAACCCAAAUCAAUGCAAAUCUUCAAGUCUUACACAGAUAAUGGAACUAAAUGUUUUAACUCAAUCUUGGGUGAUUACCUUCUCUCUCAUGGCAUAGUUCACAAAAGCUCAUGUGCAGGCACACCCCAACAAAAUAGGAUUGCUGAGCGCAAAAAUAGGCAUUUAUUGGAAAUUGCUAAGGCCCUCAUGUUUACAAAUUCUGUCCCCAAACAAUUAUGGGGUGAGGCUAUCCUUACCGCUGUCUUUCUCAUCAAUAGAAUGUCAUCUCGAGUGUUAAGAUAUCACACUCCACUCUCUAUGCUUCUUAAAACAUAUCCACAUACACCACUUGUUUUUAAUCUUCCCUUAAAAACGUUUGGAUGUAUCUCUUAUGUUCAUGUCCUUGGUCCAAAUUAUUCUAAGUUUGAUCCCCGAGCUCUCAGGUGCGUUUUUUUGGGCUACUCUUUUACCAAAAAAUGGUACAAGUGCUACCAUCCCUCUAGCCUCUACUCGUCGUAUGUACGUCUCCUUAGACGUUACAUUCAAUGAAGAGCAGCCAUUUUAUCCCAACUUUUCACUUCAGGGGGGACGGUGAGUGGCGUUUCUAGUUGGGAUGCGUGUCUACCUAAGGCUACUCUUGAAAUUGCUAUUCUUGAAAUUUCAGAAUUUACAAGCUCUUCUGAGCAACAAUCUUAGCUGCCCAAAACUAAGGAACUCUUAGUUUCCUCUCGUCGACAAAAAAAAUCAUCAAGUAAUACAGCUGAUUACUACUCCAACGUCUCAUGAGUUUGACUCACAGACUACUCCUGAUGUAAGUAAUCAUUCUCCUAACCCUAUUGUACCUACUGAUGUUCCUAAUAUUGACUCUUCCAGUAUGGUGGAACCCGAAUCUGAGUUACCAAUUGCCAAAAGAAAGGGAGUUCGGUCUCAAGAAUUUGGAUGACCAAUUCUUGAUGUAGUGGAUGACUCAAGAAUUUGGUCUCCUGGGAUUAAUGGUAUUUUCUCUUGUAAAAGUGCCUUUCAAAGUUUAGUCUCAUACGAGUAUAAUUCACAAGGAAAUUGGGCUAAGUUGGUGUGGAAAGGUUGCGCUCCAUCUAGAAUCAAAGUUUUUGGUUGGCUGUUAGCUUUGGAAAAAGUAAACGUUCAGGAGAUAAUGCAAAAGAGAAGACCUUUCCAGGUGUUGUCUCCGGGUUGGUGUGUCUGCUGCAAGAAUGCUGAUGAAUCUUUGUCACACCUAUUUCUUCAGUGUCCUUUUAGCCAAGGUCUAUGGAAUAGAUUACUGAGAGAAUUUGGAUUAAGCUGGUGCAUGCCAAAGAAAUGUGCUGAUCUCCUGUCUUGCAAGAUAGAUGGGGGGAAGAAGUCUGCUAGAUUAUGGACAGCUACUGUAUUGGCUAUCCUUUGGGCAAUAUGGUUAGAAAGGAAUGGCAGAAUUUUUGACAAUAUAGAAAAGAAGAGUGUAGAGGUGUGGGAUAAAGUUAAAUUUUGGGUUGCAACAUGGGUCUAUAGGACAAAAUACUUUAAAAACCUUUCAUUUCAAGAUCUCAAUAGAGACUGGGGCUGUAUUUUAUCCUACGAUAGUGACCAUGAUUAGAAUCGUAUCUUAUGUAUAACUUGUACUUAUGUUCUAGGUAUUGGUUUUUCUAUGUAAUGAUCCAUGUUUUCCUCCGCCUUAAGUGAGGGUUUCUAAUGAAAUUGGGGGUCAAUCAUUGAUUGACCUUGUCUCUUUUUCACAAAAAAAGAAAGGGAGUUCGAAGUUGCACUCAACAUCCAAUGUCGAGAUAUGUCUGCUAUAGUAGACUAACUCCACACUAUAAAGUUUUUCUAGCAAAAGUCGAGCAAGUGGUGGUUCCCAAGAAUAUUACCGAGGCUCUCUUACAGAAGGAAUGGAAGAAAGCAGUGUAUGAAGAAAUUGAGGCACUGGAAGCCAACACUACAUGGACAAUAAUCAAUAGGCCUAAAACUAAUCAUGUGAUGGGCUAUAAGUGGGUGUUUACAGUUAAACACAGGGCUGAUGGAACAAUAGGCUAGUAUAAAGCGCGUUUUUGGCCAACGACGUGAGAACGUCAAAAAUGACAAACCUUCAAGAGAAAUAAAACGACACAGACGGUUUUUGAACAGAAAGUAAAUAACACGCAAUUUUUAUAGUGGUUCAGCCCCAAUAUGUUGGUAAUAGCCUAAUCCACUUAGAGUUGUGAUUAUAGAUCUGUACUCAAGAUCAGAUGAACUGAGCCAACUGAGUUUCUUCAGUACUGAUUACAAGAAUACAAGAAUUCGUUAUGAUACCAGCACUUUCUCUCUCUAGAAAACUCAGACCCAAAAUUUCCCAAAAGUCCCUCCCAAGAAGAGGAAGCCCUUUUCUGAUCCCAUAAGCCAUAUAUUUAUAGGCUUAGGAUCAUACAUCUGAUAUCCCCUGAAUCGGGAUAUUUUAUUAUAUUUAUUACAUUUAAAUUACAAAAAACAUUCAAAAUGUAACAAAACCCCCAAUUUGUGAGAAGAAUGAGAGAUUCCCGCGCGUGCCAAGACCGGUUCUUGUUGAAGCCGUUUCUGGGAAUCUUGACUUAGUCCUCCUCUAUCUGGUCGACCCAUAUCUCCUACUGACCACUCAUGCAAGUGCUGGUCGGACACAUGCAUGCUGGACAUAUGCAAGUGCUGGUAGGACAUACACUUGCUGGUCGGACAUGUGCAUGGUGAUAGGACGUGCAUGCUGGUAAGACAUGCACUCCUCUCGCCUAACAUGGCACUCUCCUCUAGCAUGCCAUAUCUCUCCUCUAACAUGGCACUCUCCUCUCUUCGGACCAAGAUCCGACCACUCCACCUUGGGCUCUCCUCGGACCAAGAUCCGACCACACCAUUGGGCUCUCCUCGGACCAAGAUCCGACCACCACCCUUGGAGUACUCCUCGAACCAAAGUCUGACUGGGCACACCCUAGCCCAAGUACUCUCCUCGGGUGCACUUGGCUUGGACAUGCCACCUCUCAAGCAGUCCAAACUCUUCCCUGAUGCACUGGGCUGCUGCUAAGCCAGAUCACCCAACUACUCCAUGCCACUAGCCAUUUCUAUUGCCACAUCAUCAUUUUCAAAUUUUGAGGAUAACAUAAAGCAAGACUAGUUGCAAAAGGGUUCACUCGUAUAUAUGAUGUAGACUACAAUGAGACGUUUGCUCUUGUCGCCAAAUUAAAUACAAAAUGGGUUCUCCUAUUAAUUGCUGCCAAUCUUGAUUGGCCCUUAUAGUAACUAGACAUAAAAAAUGCUUACCUUAAUGAACAUUUGGAAGAAGAAGUGUUCAUGAUAAUUCCUCCAGGGUUCGAAGGAAGAUAUGGAACAAUGUCUGUCAUCUGAAAAAAUCCCUCUAUGGCCUAAAGCAAUCCCCAAGGGCGUGGUUUGAAAGAUUUAAUUAGGUGAUAAGAAAGCAUGGAUAUAAACAGGCUCAGUCAGAUCACACCUCACUCACAAGAGGGUAAGGUUACUAUCCUCAUCGUCUAUGUUGAUGACAUGAUAAUAUCAGGUGAUGAUUGUAGCGAACAAGAAAGACUGAAAGGUGUGCUAGCCCUAGAGUUUGAAGUAAAAGAUCUCGGAUCGAUGAAGUACUUUCUUGGAAUGAAGGUUGCAAGAACGAAACAAGGUAUUUCAGUAUCUCAGAGAAAAUAUAUUCUGGAUCUUCUCAAAGAAUUUGUAAUGUGGUUGUAAACCAGUGGCGACACCGGUUGAACCAAAAGGCAAGUACAAACAGGUGACAAAGAGAUGUAUACACGGUUAGUAGGCAAACUGAUCUAUCUAUCUCACAAGACCUAACAUUGCAUUUGCUGUGAGCUUAGUCAGUCAAUAUAUGCACAAUCCUUUAGAAGAACACUUGGAAGAUGUGUACAGAAUCCUGCGCUAUUUGAAGAAAACAGCAAAGACUGGAUUAUUGUUCAAGAAGAAUGAAGAAGGUGUUGAGGCCUUCACAAAUGCGGAUUGGGCAAGGAUCAAUUGAGGAUAGAAGGUCAACUACUGGAUAUUGUACUAAAGUUUCGGGGGAACUUAGUGACUUGGAAAAGUAAGAAGCAACCGAUAGUAGCUCGAAGUAGUGCCGAAGAAGAACUUAGAGCUCUCGCUCAGGGAGUAUGUAAACUGAUCUGGAUCAAGCGCAUACUUGAAGAGUAAAAACUCCAAAGAACUAAGCCUCUGAAGUUGUAUAGUGACAGGAAAUCAGCAACCAGCAUAGCACAUAAUCCAGUUCAUCACGACAAACCAAGCAUGUAGAAGUGGAUAGACACUUCAUUAAAGAAAAAAUUGAUGGAAGGGAAUUAUGUGUUGUUUACAUUCCCAGUAAGCAACAACAGUCAGAUAUACUGACUAACGGUUUAUCUAAAGAAAAUUUUAAUGAGUUAGUUUGCAAGCUGGGCAUGUGGAAUCUCUAUGCACUAGCUUGAGGGAGGGUGUAGGAAAUAAUGUUUUAUUAUUAUUAUACGAUAUCCUUUUAGAAUGGGAAACCAAGCUAUAUAAAAUAUUUAGUUUCUAUAUUUAGCUAAUUAUAGGCUGACUUAUUUCUUCCCAGAAUUUCUAUAAUUAAGUUAGAAUAUUUUGUAUUCAUUACCAAAUAUCCUCGUUCUCUGUGUCUUUAAAUUUAAAGGCAUAACUCUCAUUCAAUAAAAUAUUGAAGUUUAAUUUCCACAUUUUUUAUUAAUUAUGUAUAAAUUAUUAAUGAUAAUUAAAUGUUGUAACUUGGGAACAUGAUAUCAUGCACAAAAUAUAUAAAUAAACUCUUACAUAAUAGUUUGUAUCAUGGUGAACUUUUUUUUUUUUUGUCAUUUUUAUAUCCUCUCAUAUAUUGUCUCAUUCAACAAUUUUAAAGAAAUUUAAUUAAACUAACUUGUAAGACUAAUUUAAUAAUUAUACAAUACCUUAAUAUAUUAGUGUACAUAUGUGGUUUUUCUCAUACAUGAUGACACAAUUAUUAUCACAAAUAUAUUAUUAAAUAAGUGAUUUACCAAUUAAAACAAAAAAUGGAUAUAUAUAUAUGGAAAUAAAGUAAAACAAAAAAGAUAUCAAUGGAAAUAUUUAGAACUAAAUUGGUAACGACUCCAAAUAUAAAAAAGGAUAUCAAUGGAAAUAUGUACAUUGAUUAGACGAUUUUUUUUUCAAUUUAAAAUAGGCUCUCAGUAUAUUAGUAUGAUAUAUUCAACAAUUAAGGAAAAGUAAUAAACAUAUAGAUUGAUUGGUGCUAAUUAUUUGUUUUGUUAUUUGCUUGAAAUUAUGUAUUUAGUGAAAAAAGAAUCUAAUGUAAACAAAAAAUUCAUAAACUUGAUUUACUUUGGAUUAUAAUAUGUUUUCACUUUUCAAGCAUUGGCUGCGUAAAAGCAUGUUUUGCAUCUCAUGAAUAUUUUUGGUUAAGAAAAUCAUUGUAGUUUUUCUAUCUCAUCACUGGGUCAUCACAUUUUAAAAUAUUAGCUAAGAUGUUUUUUUUUGAAAGUAUGAUUUUAAAUAGGAUUAAUUAUUGUUUUUCUUUUCCUUUUUGAUUUGUUAUGUUUUUUCGU